GCUCUAUUAGUUCAACGGUAGAGAACAUUAGCCUUUUAAACUAAAAGCAUUGGUUUGACUCCGGUAUAGAUUA
rnacentral:tRNA from 1 species